ACGAACGCUGGCGGCGUGCUUAACACAUGCAAGUCGAACGGAAAGGCCCUGCUUUUGUGGGGUGCUCGAGUGGCGAACGGGUGAGUAACACGUGAGUAACCUGCCCUUGACUUUGGGAUAACUUCAGGAAACUGGGGCUAAUACCGGAUAGGAGCUCCUGCUGCAUGGUGGGGGUUGGAAAGUUUCGGCGGUUGGGGAUGGACUCGCGGCUUAUCAGCUUGUUGGUGGGGUAGUGGCUUACCAAGGCUUUGACGGGUAGCCGGCCUGAGAGGGUGACCGGCCACAUUGGGACUGAGAUACGGCCCAGACUCCUACGGGAGGCAACAGUGGGGAAUAUUGCACAAGGGGCGGAAGCCUGAUGCAGCAACGCCGCGUGCGGGAUGACGGCCUUCGGGUUGUAAACCGCUUUCGCCUGUGACGAAGCGUGAGUGACGGUAAUGGGUAAAGAAGCACCGGCUAACUACGU
rnacentral:rRNA from 1 species